rnacentral:lncRNA from 1 species
AUGAUCUUUCUUUUGAUCUCUCUCUGUCUCUCUUUCUCCUUCUCUUGUACUUCCUCUUCCAUCUCUUUUUGCUUCUGUUUACACAUUUCUUCAUCAUUCUCUCUUUUGAUCUCUCUCUGUCUCUCUUCUUCUCUUUCUUCCACUUCCAUCUCUAUUUGCUUCUGUUUAAAUAGUUGUUCUUCAUUCUCUCUUUCAAUCUCUUUCUGUCUCACUUCUCUUUCCAUGUUUUUCUGUCUCUUCUCCAUUCUCUUUCUUUUGAUCUCUCUCUGUCUCUCUUUCUCCCUCUCUCGUUCUUCCUCUUCCAUCUCUAUUUGCUUCUGUUUACAUCUUUCUUCUUCGUGCUCUCUUUCAAUCUCUUUCUGUCUCUCUUCUUUUCUUUCGAUAUGUUUUUGUCUCUUUUCCAUUAUCUUUCUUUUGAUCUCUCUCUGUCUCUUCUCCCUCUCUCGUUCUUCCUCUUCCAUCUCUAUUUGCUUCUGUUUACAUCUUUCUUCUUCGUGCUCUCUUUCAAUCUCUCUCUGUCUCUCUUCUUCUCUUUCUUUCUCUUCCAUCUCUAUUUUCUUCUGUUUACAUCUUUCUUCUUCGUGCUCUCUUUCAAUCUCUUUCUGUCUCUCUUCUUCUCUUUCGAUAUGUUUUUGUCUCUUUUCCAUUCUCUUCCUUUUGAUCUCUCUCUGUCUCUCUUUCUCCCUCUCUCUUUCUUCCUCUUCCAUCUCUAUUUGCUUCUGUUUACAUCUUUCUUCUUCAAUCUCUCUUUCAAUCUCUCUCUGUCUCUCUUCUUCUCUUUCCAUAAUUUUCUGUCUCUUCUCCAUUCUCUUCCUUUUGAUCUCUCUCUGUCUCUCUUUCUCCCUUUCUCGUUCUUCCUCUUCCAUCUCUAUUUGCUUCUGUUUACAUCUUUCUUCUUCAAUCUCUCUUUCAAUCUCUCUCUGUCUCUCUUCUUCUCUUUCCAUAAUUUUCUGUCUCUUCUCCAUUCUCUUCCUUUUGAUCUGUCUCUGUCUCUCUUUCUCCCUCUCUCUUUCUUCCUCUUCCAUCUCUAUGUGCUUCUGUUUGCGUCUCUCCUCUUCUUCUUCUCUCUCCAUCUCCUUCUUCUUCUCAUCUUCUUCUUGUCUCUGUUUUGGUAUUUUCUCCAUUCUCUUUCUUUCUACCUCUUUCUGUUUGUUGUGCUCACCAUCCAUCUUCUCCUCCAUGUCCAUUUGGUUCUGUUUCCAUUUAUAUUUGUCUGUUUCCAUAUUUUCUAAUUCUAUCUGCUGUUCCUUGAUUUUCUUGAAGACUUCCUCCAAUUCAGACGUCUUUUUGUCAUUGAUGAGGGCUGUCUCCAUCUCCAUCUCUCUCUCCACUCUAUUUUUCAACUCCUCUUCACUUCGUCUCCAAUCAUUUUCUCUCUCUCUGUCUCUAUCAAAUGUUCUCUCUGGUUCAGUCUCGUCUUUCAAUCUAAUCUCUUCUUUCAUUCUCACAACCUCUCUGUCUAACACUAGUACAUUUUGGUUAACCUGUUUCACUCUCUCAUUCUGUCUUCUAAACGCUUCUUUCGCUCUUUCAAAUUUGAUUUUGUAUUGA